AAGAACUAACAGGAUUCCCCUAGUAACGGCGAGUGAAGCGGGAAGAGCUCAAGCUUAAAAUCUCCGGUCAGGUUCUGGUCGGCGAAUUGUAGUCUAUAGACGCGUUAUCAGUGUGGCCGGUCGGGGUAAGUUCCUUGGAAGAGGACAGCAAUGAGGGUGAUACUCCCGUUUGUACCUGAUUGUGUUGCGCGUACGAUGCGUGUUCUUUGAGUCGCGUUGUUUGGGAAUGCAGCGCAAAGUAGGUGGUAAAUUCCAUCUAAAGCUAAAUAUUGGUGCGAGACCGAUAGCGAACAAGUACCGUGAGGGAAAGAUGAAAAGAACUUUGAAAAGAGAGUUAAAGAGUACCUGAAACUGCUGAAAGGGAACCGGGUCGUUGCCAGUGUCUAUAAUCCUUGGCAUAUUUCAUUGCCGUGUCUGUUUGUUCCGCGUGUUUGUAGCAGUUUGUUCUGUGCAUUGCGUGGUUGUGAGCGGUCGUGGCGGUGCCCUGUGCUUUGGUGGGACGUCAGAGUCAGUUCGUAUGCUGCGGGAAAUGGUCGUGCAGGAGGUAGGUCGGGGGCUUGCUCUCGGCUGUUAUAUCUGUGCGUGCCAGUAGUCGUGGUUGGGACUGAGGUGCCUACAACGUGCUUUUGAGUCUUUGGGUCGCUCUGUGCGCGCGUGUGCGGGAUAGCUUGCUAUGCCGUGUGCGUUUGUGUGUGGAUGGCGUGCUCUUUGUAACUUGUUGCCGUUCGGGACUUUGACGAAAUGGCGCGAUCCGA
rnacentral:rRNA from 1 species